GAGCAGAUGAUGAAACAAAUAUUUUAAGACUGAUUAGUAUGAAGUUAUUAAAUAUUCGAGCUUUUUAAAACUGAUGCUCA